UUUCACAUUUAAGUAGUUCUCUUCUAGGGCAGAGGUUCUCCUGAGAUGACCUCCUACCUGUGAUCCCCAUUAGAAGCCGUGUUCUGGGACUCUUGUACCCUCUCUUCUAUCAACAUGAACUUGACAUCCAUAUCUGUAUUGCAGUACCUCACCCUCAACUCUGUUGGCUGCACAUAUGGAAGUGCCAUUUGGCCUGAGUAGCACCUGGACUACCAGUAACACCACUGCCAUUGAAAGAAUGAUCUUAGUUCUCUCUAUGAGAAUGAACUUCUCAAGAAAAGUGAAAAGGAAAUCAAUAAGGGUAACAGCAUCACCUGUUUUGAGAAAAAAUGCUUCUGAAUUCUUCCCUGUUAACGCACUUUAAGAGGAUUUUGCAAGCAUUCAGUGCAGAGAACCCAAACAUUUUAUUCUGGCAAGGGAAGCUUUAUAGAAAUAUUUGCAAUAUUUUGUGCUAAUCCCUCCACAAGUCACUUUGGUGUGGCAAAUAUUUGUUCAAGCAGACUUUACUACAGUUACAGAGUACAUCAAUCUGUUGUUUUAACCUUUAGAAAAUAACCCUGUGUCUUCUCGAAGGAAAUAAAGAGUC
rnacentral:lncRNA from 1 species